GCGGGUGAGGUGUAACGGUUCUGCAUUACGGUCUCCAAAACCGUCGGAUUGGGUUCAAUUCCCAGCACCCGUGCCA
rnacentral:tRNA from 1 species